rnacentral:rRNA from 1 species
UUAUGUGAUCGUCUCUCGCAUAUCAAUAAGCGGAGGAAAAGAAACUAACAAGGAUUCCCCUAGUAACGGCGAGUGAAGCGGGAAGAGCUCAAAUUUGAAAUCUUAAAGGGUUUCCCUUUACGAAUUGUAGUUUAAAGAAGUGUUUUCUGUUGAGGUUUUGGUAAAAGUUCUUUGGAAUAGGACAUCAUAGAGGGUGAGAAUCCCGUAUUUGACCUUUACUUUCAACUUUGUGAUACACUUUCAAAGAGUCGGAUUGUUUGGGAAUGCAGUCCAAAAUGGGUGGUAAAUUUCAUCUAAAGCUAAAUAUUGGCGAGAGACCGAUAGCGAACAAGUACCGUGAGGGAAAGAUGAAAAGAACUUUGAAAAGAGAGUUAAACAGUACGUGAAAUUGUCAAAAGGGAAGCGUUUGACACCAGUGUUGUUUUUCUGAAAAUCAAUUAAAGAACUGUUUAUGCUAAGCUGUUUAGACUUUAUCAGCUAUCUGUUUAGUUUUGAGCUUUUCUUUAAUGCACUUUUCAGUUAACAAGUCAACAUCAAUUUCUUUUGCUGUAAAAAAGCUUGAGGAAGGUGGCUGGAGAUUCGUCUUAAGUGUUUAUAGCCUCUUGCCUAUGCAGUCGGAGAGAUUGAGGUCUGCAGCGUAGAUCCUUCGGGGCUAAAUGCAUUUGUGCUAAGUUAUAGCAUUUUAUAGACAACUUGUUGACUAUGAUUUGUCUUGUAGCUUACUCGCUUAUGUUAUUUUACCUACGCUUAGGAUGUUGAGCGCAUGUCUCUCUCU